rnacentral:rRNA from 1 species
AUUGAACGCUGGCGGCAGGCCUAACACAUGCAAGUCGAACGGUAACAGGAAGCAGCUUGCUGCUUCGCUGACGAGUGGCGGACGGGUGAGUAAUGUCUGGGAAACUGCCUGAUGGAGGGGGAUAACUACUGGAAACGGUAGCUAAUACCGCAUAACGUCGCAAGACCAAAGAGGGGGACCUUAGGGCCUCUUGCCAUCGGAUGUGCCCAGAUGGGAUUAGCUAGUAGGUGGGGUAACGGCUCACCUAGGCGACGAUCCCUAGCUGGUCUGAGAGGAUGACCAGCCACACUGGAACUGAGACACGGUCCAGACUCCUACGGGAGGCAGCAGUGGGGAAUAUUGCACAAUGGGCGCAAGCCUGAUGCAGCCAUGCCGCGUGGAUGAAGAAGGCCUUCGGGUUGUAAAGUACUUUCAGCGGGGAGGAAGGGAGUAAAGUUAAUACCUUUGCUCAUUGACGUUACCCGCAGAAGAAGCACCGGCUAACUCCGU